rnacentral:misc_RNA from 1 species
AGAAGAAGAAGGAGAAGAAGAAACAGUGUUGAAAUCAAGAAAUUUUCAAUUUUUGAUAAGGAUUGCUGGCAUGUUUUUCUAUUUUUUGCAAUUCUUGGGAAAAUCAUAAUCAUAAUAUUUUUAUUUCUUUUCACCCAAUUAUUAGAUAAAAAUUGAUUAGUUAGAUAUAAAUACAUUCAAAUAAUAAUUUUAUAAUAAUUGGUUUGGCGAUAAAAUAUUCUGAUCAUUCUUUAGUUCUUGAUGAUAAACAGUUUGUAUCUCCAGACCAAAACGUAGUCAAUUUCUCAAUGUGUUGUGAGGUUGAAGGUCUGCUUAAUGAGUGUGCUUUUCUUGCUAGGCUGGCCAAGGUGAUGUGAAGU